CGUGCUGUUGUUUUAAAAAUAUUUUGUUUAUUAUUGUAUUAAUUUGUGUGUUUUGUAUUUUUCAUAGUUGCAUUUAGUGUGCCAAAAAAUAUGAAAACUUGACGUUCGUGACGUCACAUACCAAAUGAAAACUUGACGUUCGUGACGUCACAUACAAUAUGAAAACUUGACGUUCGUGACGUCACAUACCAAACAAUGACGUCAUUCAAAAAAUUUACAUAUUUUG
rnacentral:lncRNA from 1 species